rnacentral:lncRNA from 1 species
GAAAAGCUUUUUGCACCAAAGGUAUUAUUACAGAAUGUAGAAUUUGUCCUUUUGUGCUUUUGACUGAAUGAUAUAUAGUAUUGAUGCAAAUGUAUUAAUUUAAAAAGUAUUCAAUUUAAACAAGCAAGAUUGCUUGUACCGGAACAUGGAAGCACCGCUCCACUUGACACUCCUACCUUAAGGUAAAAAUAUUUUAUCAUUUUAUUAAUUUUUAAAUUUAUUAUUUGAUAUAACUGCAAAAAUAGAGAAAAAAAAGGGUUGAUGUAAGAGAGUUAUUGGAUUUUGAAUUUGGAGUUUUGAGGUUGGAGAUUUGGAGAGAGAGGGAAGGGAGGAUAGGUCUAGGAUUUAUAUUUAUAUAUUAUAUAUAUAUUUAUACAAUAAUAGAGUACUCUGACUACUAAUUAAGAGUAUCAUAAAUUAUAAACAAUAAAAAUCAAAUUAAUAGUACAAAAAAGUCCAUCAGUGCGCAGUAGCUGUUGAUCCAAAAAGCAACAACAUAAAAUAAUAGUUUUUUCAAGUAUUCAAAAAACUAGCAGCAUAAAGCAGCAAGUUGUUUCAAGCAUUCCAAAAAGCAACAUCAUGAAGUAAUAGAUAUUUGUAAAUAUUUCAAAAAGCAACAGCAUUAAGUAACAACUAUUUUAAAGCAUUCCAAAAUUCAACUACAUAAAGUAACAGGUGAUUGCAAACAAAUGUUGCUAUUUCUAUUAUGGAUUCGUGUGUAUUUGUUGUUUAACAUAUGAGCAAAGUGUGGUUAGACUUUAGUUUGAAAUAUAAUAAUUAUUUUUGUGUGUUCAGAAUGAAUGUGUUGUGUUGAAGGUUACUGAUUAAAACUACCUAUAAUAAUCAUUACUUAGUAAGAAUUGUGGAUGAGAUUUUAUGUAUUUAAUUUGUUUGUCUCAAUAUGGUUGGGUUGAAUGAAGAUUUUGUAAUGUAAAAUUCACUUUUAAUGUAAGGAGCACAUUGUUCCUGGGAUGGUUAAGUGAAAUUUUUGAAAUGUAGAAUUCACUAUUAAUGUAAGCUAAAGAUUGGAAGUAUAUAGAGAUUCGAUUGGAGAGGAAUCGGUUCAUUGUUGAUAUUUGCAAGCAUGAAAAGUUUUUUGCAUUAAAGGUAUUAUUACUAAAAGUAGAAUUUGUCCUUUUGUGCUUUUGACUGAAUGAUUUAUAGUAUUGAUGCAAAUGUAUUAACUUUUUGGGAAUUUAUUUGUAGGUUAUUAUACUGAUUUUUGCAAGAUUGCUCAAUUUAAAAAGUAUUCAGUUCCAAUGGGAGAUGAGGUACUACUUAUCUUAUUAGGUUUUUUUUACACUUGUGUUUAAACUGAGUAAACAGAAAAGAAAGAACAAUACCCGCUUGUUCUGGAACAUGGAAGCACCGCUCCACUUGACUCUCCUACUUUAAGGUAAAAAUAUUUUAUCAUUCUAUUAAUUUUUUAAUUUAAUAUUUGAUAAUUGCAAAAAUUGAGAAAAAGAAGGGUGGAUGCAAGAGAGUUAUUGGAUUUUGAAUUUGGAGGUUGGAGGUUGGAGAGAGAGGGAAGAGAGGGUAGGUCUAGGACUAGGUCUAGGUCAUAGAUUAUUAUUUUUAUAGGUUCUAAAUAUAUAUAUUUAUAUAUUAUAUAUAUUUAUAUUUAUUAUAAAUAUUUAUAUAUAUGUACUUAUAUAUACAAUAAUAGAGUAAUCUGACUACUAAUUAAGAGUAUCAUAUAAACAAUAAAAAUCAAAUUAAUAGUACAAAAAAGUCCAUCAGUGCACAGUAGUUGUUGAUCCAAAAAGCAACAACAUAAAAUAAUAGUUUUUUCAAGUAUUCAAAAAAGCAACAGUAUAAAGCAGGAAGUUGUUUCAAGAAUUCCAGAAACCAACAACAUAAAAUGUAAAUAUUUCAAAAAGCAAUAGCAGGUGAUUGCAAACAAAUGUUGCUAUUUCUUUUAUGGAUUCACUUAUGGUUAUGUAUUGAUUGUUUAACAUACGAGCAAAGUGUUGUUUGAAAUACAAUAAUUAUUUUUUUGUGUUCAGAAUGAAUGUGUUGUGUUGAUUGUGGGGUUACUGAUUAAAACUACCUAUAAUAAUCAUUACUUGGUAAGAAUUGUGGAUGAGGUUUUAUGUAUUUAAUAAUUUGUCUGUCUCAAUAUGAUUGGGUUGAAUGAAGAUUUUGUAAUGUAAAAUUCACUUUUAAUUGUAAGGAGCACGUUGUUCCUGGGAUGGUCAAGUGAAAUUUUUGAAAUGUAGAAUUCACUAUUAAUGUAAGCUGAAGAGUGGAAGUAUAUAGAGACGGAAUCGGUUCAUUGUUGAUAUUUGCAAGCAUGAAAAGCUUUUUGCACCAAAGGUAUUAUUACUAAAAGUAGAAUUUGUCCUUUUAUGUUUUUGACUGAAUGAUUUAUAGUAUUGAUGCAAAUAUAUUAACUUUUUGGAAAUUUUUUUGUAGGUUAUUAUACUGAUUUUUGCAAGAUUGCUCAAUUAAAAAAGUAACCAGUUCCAAUGGGAUAUGAGGUACUACUUAUCUUAUUAUUUUUUUACACUUAUGUGUUUAAACUGAGUAAACAAGUUUGGAAAGAACAACACCCGCUUGUACUGGAGCAUGGAAGCACCGCUCAACUUGACCCUCCUAUUUUAAGGUAAAAAUAUUUUAUCGUUCUAUUAAUUUUUAAAUUUAAUAUUUGAUAUAAUUAACAAAAAUACAGAAAAAGAAGAGUGGAUGUAAGAGAUUUAUUGGAUUUUGAAUUUGGAGGUUGAAG